rnacentral:piRNA from 1 species
GAUGAACAGUAGGCCGGAUGGAGACU